ensembl:lncRNA
GUUCAAUGUCAAGAACCUACCCUUAACCUCUUCUCCACAUGGCUUCAAGUGACAUUUUAUUCAUCUGAGCUUGUGACUGUGAAAUGCAUCCCUAUGUCACAAACCUGAAUGGGGGACCCGGAGGCACAGCCCUUGUCUGAUGACAGAACCAAUCAAGAGAACAGCUCAAGUCUUAAUAUUUUUAAUGAGUGUGCCAACCUAGGGGGAAGGAACAUAUGCAUUUGAGACACAGAUGAAGAUUCCAGGCUGUCAAAGUGGUCCAUCAGCCACCCCAGCAUAGAGCCAGACAUCGGGCAUCAAUCAUGAAGGCGAAGAAACAAGAAAAGGUAUACUUUCUAUUUCAGCAUCACACACAUAUGGGAAAAAUGCACAAAUCUCCAGUGUUCGGCCCAAAGAGUUUGAACAGAGUCAACACAGGCUGCAAACCAGCACUCAGAUGGACAUCGAUCGAGAAGCAUAUUACCACCCCUCAAGGGCUGGGGAACACCAAGGGGAGCCACCAUCCUGCCUUCCAGUGCCAUAGAUCUUUCCAUAAAUGGGCUCGCACAGGCUGCAUCGCCGGGGUCUGGCUGCCUCUCUCACCUGUGAGAUUCAUUCCUGAUGCUGCCUGUACAGCAGACCAUGCUGCCCAGUGUCCCCUGAGUGAAUAACCAUAGAUUUUCAUUCAUUCUAUUACAAACAGGCAUUUAGUCCAGUGUGGGGACUGACUAUGGAC